GUGGAGAUGACUUGGUGGGGAAGAGUGCUUGCCUUGAAAGCAUGGGGAAUUGAGUUCAAAUCCCAAUACUCACU
rnacentral:tRNA from 1 species